CCUACGGGUGGCAGCAGUGGGGGAUAUUGCACAAUGGGGGGAACCCUGAUGCAGCGACGCCGCGUGGGUGAAGGAGUGCUUCGGCAUGUAAAGCCCUAUCGGCAGGGAAGAAGCAAGACGGUACCUGACUAAGAAGCCCCGGCUAACUACGUGCCAGCAGCCGCGGUAAUACGUAGGGGGCGAGCGUUAUCCGGAUUCACUGGGUGUAAAGGGAGCGUAGACGGCCAAGCAAGCCAGGGGUGAAAGCCCGGGGCCCAACCCCGGGACCGCCCUUGGAACUGCAUGGCUGGAGUGCGGGAGGGGCAGGCGGAAUUCCGGGUGUAGCGGUGAAAUGCGUAGAUAUCAGGAGGAACACCGGCGGCGAAGGCGGCCUGCUGGACCGCGACUGACGUUGAGGCUCGAAAGCGUGGGGAGCAAACAGGAUUAGAUACCCCGGUAGUC
rnacentral:rRNA from 1 species